rnacentral:rRNA from 1 species
UACGGAGGGAGCUAGCGUUAUUCGGAAUUACUGGGCGUAAAGGGCGCGUAGGCGGCCUACUAAGUCAGACGUGAAAUCCCCCGGCUUAACCUGGGAACUGCGUCUGAUACUGGAAGGCUUGAGGAUGGGAGAGGGAUGUGGAAUUCCAGGUGUAGCGGUGAAAUGCGUAGAUAUCUGGAGGAACACCGGUGGCGAAGGCGGCAUCCUCGGACCGGUAUUGACGCUGAUGCGCGAAAGCCAGGGGAGCAAAGCGGG